CAGUGGCUUAGUGGUUAGCACUGUUGCCUCACAGAACGAAAGUCCUGGGAUUGCUUUCCACCUCGUCCUUUCUGUAUGGCAUUUGCAUGUUCUCUC